rnacentral:lncRNA from 1 species
CACAAUGUCUGGUCCAUGAAAGUGGUGAGAGACUAUAUUGCCAAAUAUUUUUUGAAAAUAUGCUGGAUGCUUGGUAGAAAUGAGGUUCUACGGUAUGUGACCUUUGGCAUCUGGCUUCUUUUACUUAGCAUAACGCUUCCAAGGCUCAUCCAGGGUGUAGCCUGUAUCAGUAUUUCAUUUCUUUUUACGGCUGAAUAACAUUCCGUUAUAUGUAUUACCACGACUAAUUUAUCCAUUUGUCAGCGGGUGGACAUUUGAGUUGUGUCCACCUCUUGGCUCUUGUGAACAGUGCUACUAUGAACAUGUGCGUGUGCGCGAUUAUUUGAGGACCUGUUUUCGAUCGUCUUUCCAUUGUACCUGUGUUCGGUAUAUCUUGGAAUGGAAUUCCGGAUUAUAUAUAUAUUUUUAAGUUUACUUAUUAUUGAGAGAGAGAGCACGCGCACGCAGGAGAGGGCAGAGAGAGGGGGAGAGAGAGAGAAUCCCAAGCAGGCUCUGCACCGUCAACACAGAGCCCGAUGCAGGGCUCGAACCCACGAAGCGUGAGAUCACGGCCUGAGCUGAAGUCAGACACUGAACCGACUGAGCCACCCAGGUGCCCUGUAUAUUUUUUUCUAUAUAUUUAACUUUUGAAGAACUGGCAAAACUGUUUUCCACGGAGGCUGAGCCAUCUCACAUUCCCAUAGCAAUGAACGAGGGCUCCGAUUCACCAUUUGUUACUUGCUGUUUCUAUUUUUCACGAUCACCAUAGCCAUCCCCGUGGGUGUGAAAAACACUGAGAUUUUAUGCCAUGUCUGCAAAGUUGCAAGCUCUUGGGACAUCCAAGUAGCGUUGGGUCCCCCAGUGCUCGCAAUGAACCAAGGCCGUGCUGUAUUUUCAAGGCUCCCACACCCAUUCUGGGUCACGCUCUGGCAGGUGGGCAACAAAGCUUUGUAUCGUAUGGAAACUUGUCCAGCUUCAACCCAUACAGCUGAAAUGUGAGUCCAGGGCGGGGCCAAGUCAGGGGAACAAUCUGAGGCAGACCCUGGGCUGCCCUUUCUGGCUUGUUCUUUCCAUUCUUUCUUUUUUAAAAUUUUUAAUGUUUUUAUUUAUUUUUGAGACAGAGAGAGACAGAGCGUGAGCAGGGGAGGGGCAGAGAGCAGGGGAGACACCGAAUCCGAAGCAGGCUCCAGGCUCCGAGCUGUCAGCACAGAGCCCGACACGGGGCUCGAACCCACAAACCGUGAGAUCAUGACCUGAGCCGAAGUUGGACGCUUAACCAACUGAGCCACCCAAGGCGCCCCUGUUCUUUCCAUUCUUAUCGUUUAUUCUCCUAGCUAAGACCCCUUGAUGCUGGGACAUGGUCUUCAGGUACCCCAGGACAUGAUUACACCCCAGCUUCCGUUCAGCUGGGGCAUCUCCAUUCUGCAGGUUUCUUGUUAGAGUGAGAACAGUGCUAAUCACGUAACUAAAGACGCAAAGGACAAGGUCCUUUGGGAACCGGAGCCCUUUGCUUCUUUAUUUUUUUUUUUUAAUUUUUUUUUCAACGUUUAUUUAUUUUUGGGACAGAGAGAGACAGAGCAUGAACGGGCGAGGGGCAGAGAGAGAGGGAGACACAGAAUCGGAAACAGGCUCCAGGCUCUGAGCCAUCAGCCCAGAGCCCGACGCGGGGCUCGAACUCACGGACCGCGAGAUCGUGACCUGGCUGAAGUCGGACGCUUAACCCACUGCGCCACCCAGGCACCCCACCCUUUGCUUCUUUAAACUGGGAAGAUCCUGUGUGUGUUUCAGGGGCAGUUGAUAUCUGGGCAUAGGGUACGUUAUAAGGGAGGGAUUGAGAGAGAGAGAGAGAGAGAGAGAGAGAGAGAUCCGGGAUCAUUGGUGGUGAGGUAAUAGUUGAGGCCAUGAGAGGAGGUAAGAUGUAACGAAAAAUGUGUCAGUUGGUGAAGAGCUGGACUGAAUGUCCUGGUAUUCCUUUAAUUUUAGGAACACUACCGGAAAGGAGGCUGGUGCUUGUGCUGAGCCGCCUUCAGCAGCUCCACGUCCCACAUUGCUGAUGAGUGAGAGCCUCUGUUAUAAAUGGAAACGUGAACUGGCAAGUGCUCACCGGCUAACGCUGAACCCACCAGCUUAUUUUGCUACCUAUUAUGUACGUGAUCUGCGAUUUUGCUUAUUGAUUGCAAAUAUGCACGAGGAAUAGGAAGCUGGCGUGUUUUCCCAAAACGAGACGGAGCGUUUUCGCUGCUGCGUGUCUCAACCGGGUAUGGCUUCGACUUUUCAUCAUUUUUCUGAGGUCAGAAACAGCCUUUGGUGGGGCUCUAAUUUUUUUUUUUUUUUUUUUUUUUUUUUUUUUAUAUAGAAGUUUGGCUCCCGAGACUGUUUCAGAGCCUUUAGGAAAGAUAUCAAGUGGACGAGACAUGUCUGAAAAUAUUUAAAGUGGCGAUUUCCUAGGCCCUCUUUCUCCACUUUCUCCGUAGGCAUCUGUUCCCAUAUGUGGAGGUUUAAGUCAGCCUCUAUCUACAGAUGACCCUUGUCUGACCUCACUCUCUGGAAUGCUCUGCCUGCCUCUGUCUUUCAUGCCAGAGCACAUCAACACUACCUUCUGUUGGCAUUCCUGAUAGGAUCUCUUUCUCCUGAGCUCUUGAAAGAAUCCUGCUUCAGCAACUCUAGAGAAUGGUGGGAGAGUUGGUCUUUAAAAACAGAUUUAUCCCAUACCAAGGACAAGAAUCACUUAUUUUGCACCACUGUGUGCAUUGACUCUUCUUUUCUCCCAAUCCAUGAACAUAGUAUAGAUUCUUAGGUCCCCUUGACCCAGGAAUGCAGUUUCCCAUGCCUACAUAGGCCAAGUCCUUCUGUUCUCAGAGAUUCUAAUUACAUUAGCCUGUGUAUUUCCUUUAAAACGGUUAUCACAACCUAAAAUUACCUUGUUUAUUUGCUUACAUAUUCACUGUCUAUCUCUUCUAUCUAGAAAGUAAACUCCAUGAGGGCAGGGUAUUUUUUUUUAAAGAACAGUCUUUUUUUAUUUAUUUCUUUAUUUUUAGAGAGAGAGAGAGAGAGUGCACAUGAGCAAGGGAGAGAGGGAGAAUCUAAAGCAGGCUCCACACUCAGUGUGGAGACCAACUCUCAGGUCUCCAUCCCAUGACCCCGGGAUCAUGACCUGAGCCAAAAUCAAAAGUCAGACACUCAACCGACUGAGCCACUCAGGCACCGUGAGAGCGGGGCCUUAUGUGUCUUCUCCCGGCAUCCAGAGCAAUGCUUGUCCACAUAAUAGGUGCUCAUGGAAUAUUUGCCAACUGACUGACUUACAGAAUCAGUCAUUAAAACUUCAUACGAAAAUUAGCUUUCCAUUAACUCCUUCUAAGUGUCAUUUUCUUGUCUCUCUUGAACAACGAUGUCUUCCAAAUGGAGCUAGUAUCUUGACCAAACACCAACUAACUAUGUUAGUGGCUUUUGAGAUUUGGGACCCCCUUUACACCCUUAAAAGUUGUUGAAGACCCAAAGGGCUAGUGUUCAUAUGAGUCAUAUCUGUCAUUAUUUAGUGUGAUAGAAAUGAAAACUGAGAAGAGUUCAAAAUAUUUAUUUACUAAAUCAUUAAAAAUAAUAAACCCAUUAUAUGUUAACAUUUAUCCCAUAUUUUUUUUUGUUUCUCAAAUAAAAUAACAGGGACAUGAGAGGCAUUGUUUUACUUAAGA